CAGGGAUUGCCCUAGUAACGGCGAGUGAAGCGGCAACAGCUCAAAUUUGAAAGCUAGCCUUCGGGUUCGCAUUGUAAUUUGUAGAGGAUGAUUUGGGGAAGCCGCCUGUCUAAGUUCCUUGGAACAGGACGUCAUAGAGGGUGAGAAUCCCGUAUGUGACAGGAAAUGGCACCCUAUGUAAAUCUCCUUCGACGAGUCGAGUUGUUUGGGAAUGCAGCUCUAAAUGGGAGGUAAAUUUCUUCUAAAGCUAAAUAUUGGCGAGAGACCGAUAGCGCACAAGUAGAGUGAUCGAAAGAUGAAAAGCACUUUGGAAAGAGAGUUAAAAAGCACGUGAAAUUGUUGAAAGGGAAGCGCUUGCAAUCAGACUUGUUUAAACUGUUCGGCCGGUCUUCUGACCGGUUUACUCAGUUUGGACAGGCCAGCAUCAGUUUCGGCGGCCGGAUAAAGGCUCUGGGAAUGUGGCCUCCACUUCGGUGGAGGUGUUAUAGCCCAGGGUGUAAUACGGCCAGCCGGGACUGAGGUCCGCGCUUCGGCUAGGAUGCUGGCGUAAUGGUUGUA
rnacentral:rRNA from 1 species